rnacentral:rRNA from 1 species
AGAGUUUGAUCCUGGCUCAGGAUGAACGCUAGCGACAGGCUUAACACAUGCAAGUCGAGGGGCAUCAUGAGGUAGCAAUACCUUGAUGGCGACCGGCGCACGGGUGAGUAACGCGUAUGCAACCUGCCUGAUACCGGGGUAUAGCCCAUGGAAACGUGGAUUAACACCCCAUAGUACUUUUAUCCUGCAUGGGAUGUGAGUUAAAUGUUCAAGGUAUCGGAUGGGCAUGCGUCCUAUUAGUUAGUUGGCGGGGUAACAGCCCACCAAGACGAUGAUAGGUAGGGGUUCUGAGAGGAAGGUCCCCCACAUUGGAACUGAGACACGGUCCAAACUCCUACGGGAGGCAGCAGUGAGGAAUAUUGGUCAAUGGACGAGAGUCUGAACCAGCCAAGUCGCGUGAGGGAAGACUGCCCUAUGGGUUGUAAACCUCUUUUAUAAGGGAAGAAUAAGUUCUACGUGUAGAAUGAUGCCUGUACCUUAUGAAUAAGCAUCGGCUAACUCCGUGCCAGCAGCCGCGGUAAUACGGAGGAUGCGAGCGUUAUCCGGAUUUAUUGGGUUUAAAGGGUGCGUAGGCGGUUUAUUAAGUUAGUGGUUAAAUAUUUGAGCUAAACUCAAUUGUGCCAUUAAUACUGGUAAACUGGAGUACAGACGAGGUAGGCGGAAUAAGUUAAGUAGCGGUGAAAUGCAUAGAUAUAACUUAGAACUCCGAUAGCGAAGGCAGCUUACCAGACUGUAACUGACGCUGAUGCACGAGAGCGUGGGUAGCGAACAGGAUUAGAUACCCUGGUAGUCCACGCCGUAAACGAUGCUCACUGGUUCUGUGCGAUAUAUUGUACG